rnacentral:tRNA from 1 species
GGGGAUUUAGCUCAGUGGCAAAAGCACCUGCCUGGCAAGCACAAAGUGUGAGUUUGAUCCCCAGUAACCUCCC